GACGAACGCUGGCGGCGUGCCUAAUACAUGCAAGUCGAGCGGACGGAUGGGAGCUUGCUCCCAGACCGUCAGCGGCGGACGGGUGAGUAACACGUGGGCAACCUGCCUGUAAGACUGGGAUAACUCCGGGAAACCGGGGCUAAUACCGGAUAACUCUUUCCCUCACAUGAGGGAAAGCUGAAAGAUGGCAUCUCGCUAUCACUUACAGAUGGGCCCGCGGCGCAUUAGCUAGUUGGUGAGGUAACGGCUCACCAAGGCGACGAUGCGUAGCCGACCUGAGAGAGUGAUCGGCUACACUGGGACUGAGACACGGCCCAGACUCCUACGGGAGGCAGCAGUAGGGAAUGUUCCGCAAUGGACGAAAGUCUGACGGAGCAAGGCCGCGUGAGUGAUGAAGGUGUUCGGAUCGUAAGACUCUGUUGUCAGGGAAGAACAAGUACCGGAGUAACUGCCGAUACCUUGACGGUACCUGACCAGAAAGCCACGGCUAACUACGUG
rnacentral:rRNA from 1 species